AUUGAACGCUGGCGGCAGGCCUAACACAUGCAAGUCGAACGAGUGGCGGACGGGUGAGAAAUGUCUGGGAAACUGCGCGAGGGAGGGGGAUAACUACUGGAAACGGUAGCUAAUACCGCAUACAAUCGGGGGUGCCCAGAUGGGAUUAGCUUGUAGGGGGGGUAACGGCGCACCUAGGCGACGAUCUCUAGCUGGUCUGAGAGGAUGACCAGCCACACUGGAACUGAGACACGGUCCAGACUCCUACGGGAGGCAGCAGUGGGGAAUAUUGGACAAUGGGCGCAAGCCUGAUCCAGCCAUACCGCGUGUGUGAAGAAGGCCUUCGGGUUGUAAAGCCCUUUUGUUGGGAAAGCGGUACCCAAAGAAUAAGCACCGGCUAACUUCGUGCCAGCCGCCGCGGUAAUAC
rnacentral:rRNA from 1 species